rnacentral:tRNA from 2 species
GGACCGCUAGCUCAGUUGGUAGAGCACCUGACUCUUAAUCAGGGUGUCCAGGGUUCGAACCCCUGGCGGUCCA